rnacentral:rRNA from 1 species
CCUACGGGACGCAGCAGUGAGGAAUAUUGGUCAAUGGGCGCGAGCCUGAACCAGCCAAGUCGCGUGAGGGAAGACGGUCCUAUGGAUCGUAAACCUCUUUUGCCGGGGAGCAAGGGCGGGGACGUGUCCCGGCCCGGAGAGUACCCGGAGAAAAAGCAUCGGCUAACUCCGUGCCAGCAGCCGCGGUAAUACGGAGGAUGCGAGCGUUAUCCGGAUUUAUUGGGUUUAAAGGGUGCGUAGGCGGGCUUUUAAGUCAGCGGUAAAAAUUCGGGGCUCAACCCCGUCCGGUCGUUGAAACUGGGGGG